CCUACGGGGGUGCAGCAGUGGGGAAUAUUGGACAAUGGGCGAAAGCCUGAUCCAGCCAUGCCGCGUGUGUGAAGAAGGCCUUCGGGUUGUAAAGCACUUUCAGUGGGGAAGAAAGCCUUGGGGCUAAUACCCUCGAGGAAGGACAUCACCCACAGAAGAAGCACCGGCUAACUCCGUGCCAGCAGCCGCGGUAAUACGGAGGGUGCGAGCGUUAAUCGGAAUUACUGGGCGUAAAGCGCGCGUAGGCGGUCUGAUAAGCCGGUUGUGAAAGCCCCGGGCUCAACCUGGGAACGGCAUCCGGAACUGUCAGGCUAGAGGGCAGGAGAGGAAGGUAGAAUUCCCGGUGUAGCGGUGCAAUGCGUAGAGAUCGGGAGGAAUACCAGUGGCGAAGGCGGCCUUCUGGACUGACACUGACGCUGAGGUGCGAAAGCGUGGGUAGCAAACAGGAUUAGAUACCCGAGUAGUC
rnacentral:rRNA from 1 species